UGCCACACUGCCUCCCAGUCCCUCAUGUCUUGAACACUCCAGGGAGAGGCAGUAGUCCCUAGGGUAGCUUCGUGAGUGAGGGUCUGUAUGUGAGCGCUCAGCCCGUGCAAAUGCAGCUGUUCUUUUGUCUGUGGUUGGAAAGCUGUUGAGUUCUGCUCAGCAAUCAGCGCCAGGGUUUAUUUCUUCAAACCCCGGGGGAUUCCGCUGCGUUCCUAGCAGGUGGCCAUGAGAUAGACUGUGAGUUCCAUACGACACAGUGUCUCCCUGGCCAAGGGUCCAACCACAGACUUCUCAUUGAGCCCCACAUGUCUCACUGUGUAACAGAGCAGCGUCUUGCUCAAACAGUCUUACUGAGGCAUGCAACAGAGGCGCUGUAAGUUGCCUAUAUGUAGAAUUGUAUUAACCAUUAAAAAGCACUUUAAAUACAGCAGUACAGGUACAUUGCAAACCAGAGAGAGAGUGAGAGAUGUAUGCAGUGUGCUGAGGAGUCCCUUGUGGUGAUGAAGUACUCGCAGGUUUGUGCUGCACUGCAGGACUCAUGAGGAUAAUGCUGUAUAGAGUUAGCCAUCGGGUGGGGGUUUAAGACGUGCACCCCACUUGCUUUCUGGUCUCAGGGAGCCUGCAAUGGAAGUGUUGGAGCUUCUGAUACAGGCUGACCCAGGACUCACCCGAGAGGUUAGCAGCCCAGCAUGGAGACUCAUUACUCUGAAAGACAGCAAUGGUGCCACCUGCUGGUGAGCCCAUAGUGUCAUGACAGAGUUUCUUUCAAGCGUUUAACUAGACAGCUGUGGGUUUUGGUUCAGGGGGUCCUCAAGGCAAAAGGUUGAACCACGUGGAAAUGUUCUUUCAUCUGCCGUGGACAGGGGUGCCUCAUUCUCUACCCUUUGUUCCAGGUUACAGGGUAUCAAAGUAGGGAGUUUAAGUUUCUGGGCACUCCCCCUGCCCUCCUCCUUUGUCCCCGAGUGCCCUCUCACUGCUGCUCAGCCAGCCCCUGCCCGCCAUUGCUGGCACCCAGUCCGGGGGGCUCCAGCCAGGGCUAAUUCCGGCAGCGCUGGGGGUUUCGUAAUCAGGAGGGACACCUGUCUGGCCGGAGCACGGUGCCUCUCUCCCCAGUGAGUGACCGCCAGCACAUUUUCUAACAGCAUGUGGUCACUUGUCCUCUGCCUGACUCCCCGAGCUGAGACUGCAGUGCAAACAGCCUGCUUUCCCAGGGCCCCUCUGCUCUGUUGUUGUUUAGAAGCGCUCUCGGGAGUCGGUCGCAAUGAGUUGAUAGCGAGAUAUAUCAAGUUACGGACAGGGAAAACCCGCACAAGAAAACAGGUCUCUAGUCACAUACAGGUGCUCGCGCGGAAGAAAGUCCGGGAGUACCAGGCUGGAAUCAAGGUAGGUGCCGGCUGGGGGUUCGAGGGGGGUCUUGUCGGGCAUCGCCUUCCUCUUUGGUUACGGCUUCUUCUUUUUUUUCUUUCUUUCUUUCCUCCUUUUUUUGUUUUCUUCCCUCUCCGCUCUUCUCUU